rnacentral:lncRNA from 1 species
UUCUUUCUCUCUUCAGUCAAUAAAGAGUUAUUCUUUGUGUGGCCAUGGAGUAGGCAAAAUUUGCCGAACCACGUAAAUCUUGUGUUGUCUUAUCUUAUACAACUUAUUGCUUUUAUAUCUCAAAUAUUCUUUUCCUUCUAUUAUCUUUACACGCUUCCUAACAGCAAAGACUUCCUCAGGAUUUUUAAAGGGAAUGGUAAUAACAUCAGGUCUUUUACUAUUGUAUUUCUGGAACAUUUUUCUUAGAACUUUAGACACACUUCUUUCCACAUGCGGCAACAUGCAACUCAAUGGAUAGCUUGACAGUGCAGCAUGUACAUCUUUAUGAAGUGCGUCCAGAAGUCCCCCUUUGUCAAGCCACAAGUAGUCGUGUGUUGAUUCUUAUUUUUAAUUUCAAAGAUUUCUUUGUCGUACCAUCCGUGGAUUGGGGGUGUAACAUUUUCAUACUGCAUUACAUAUAUCUUACCAAGUGUAGUAUCAUAAAGUGGACGAGCGUGUCGUGCAUCAAAAGAUUAAGAAGUUUACCUAACCAUUAUAAUACCACUGGAAGUAAUUCUUUGUCUCUCAUCAAUACAAAGUUAAGUAUCUAGAGAUGGGAUAUGGGAGAUGAAGAAUUUGAAGAAUCCUAAUAAAAAGAAGAAAAAUAAUAAUAAUAAUAAUAAUAAUAAUAAUAAUAAUAAUAAUAAUAAUAAUAAUAAUAAGAAGACGACAUUUUUGCAUCUUUAAAGAAUGAAUUCUUUUAGGUUAAAAUGAAUUAAAGGGGGCGGGUCGGUAAUGGGACGGUAUACGAGUGAGUUAGUGUUGAGGGAUGAAUUUUAAGUUUAGAAACAAAAAAUGUGGAUUAAAAAAGUUUAAAUAGAAAACUAUUAGAAAUAAGGGCAUAGUUGAGCCAAAAGUUAAACGGUAAGUAUUUUUUUAUUCGAAAAGCUGAAAGUAGGGCUUUAUUGUAUCGAAUUUGAUACUUCACGGGUACUUUAGGAUAGGGGUGUUCAAAACUGAAGCUUAAUGGCUUAUUGUAUCGGAUUAAUGGUUUAACAAACAGGGAACAAGUUGAUUUUUUUUAAUUAAAGGCUUAUCGGUUUGGGGGCGAAUUAUUCAAUUUUUUAACUGAUAAUUCGCUAACCCGUUAAAGAUAUAUAUAUAUUAAAUAAUCAAAAAUCUUUCUUCCACCUUUGAGUACUCUAUCUAUAUUCUCUAGUACUAAUUUACCAUUGGACAUGCCCUAAUGCCUAAAUUUACCUGUUUCUAUCUACCGCCACAGAACAUACUUGUGGUCUUACAUUUUUUACGUUCCAAAUUAUGUAAGCUGGAUAUAACUCCUUAUGCCCUUGUGGUUCCAUGUUAUCGUCUCUUUAUAGGUUGAAGUUGAUGAGUAUCCGACAGAAGCCAAGAAGGAAGGAGAAGAUGCGACAACUGAGGUAGCUAGGAGUAGUACAUAUUCAGGGGGUAGCUUUGUUGAUUCUACUGUUGUCUUUUUCCAUUUCUGAUGAAAUUUCUAACUCUCUGCAACAGAAAAGAAGAAGACCAAAAAAAUUGUGGAGAAAUAUUGGGACUGGAGCUUACAAAUAAGAGCUAAACCGAUACAAGUCUGUCCAAUAUCUUAUCGGAUGGCUAGCGAAUAAAUACAUCUAAAAGUCGAUAACUCAUAAGUCAAACCUUUAAGAGUAAAUCAUCGUCCAAUCCGCCCGAUAUGCAGCCCUACUUUAGACCCUUUUCCGUUUAUUCUACAGUAAUGUAACCAUCCAUGCACGGCCAUAAAUGACUACAUAGGGUGUUUAAUAAGAAGGAAUCAUGUUCUAAUUUUUCUUUGGCAUAAUUUAAAAUUAGGUUCCUCAUAUGUAGAAAGCAAGUGACAAUGAAAAGGGAGAAAGGAAAAAAGCAUACAACAACAGAUUAAACCCAAUUUAAUGUGGGGUCUAAGAAGGGUAAUAUGUAUG